UUCAAUAUCUUCAUAAAUAAUUUGAAUAAUGGCACAGAAAGUACACUUAAAGUCUGCAGAUGGUAUCAAGUGGGAGGGGUUAAAAGAUGCUUC